GACGGAGCAACGCCGCGUGAGGGAUGAAGGCCUUUGGGCUGUAAACCUCUUUUCUCAAGGAAGAAGAUCUGACGGUACCUUGAGGAAUAAGCCACGGCUAAUUCCGUGCCAGCAGCCGCGGUAAUACGGGAGUGGCAAGCGUUAUCCGGAAUUAUUGGGCGUAAAGCGUCCGCAGGCGGCCUAGCAAGUCUGUCGUCAAAGCGUGGAGCUUAACUCCAUUUAGGCGGUGGAAACUGCAGGGCUAGAGUGCGGUAGGGGCAGAGGGAAUUCCCGGUGUAGCGGUGAAAUGCGUAGAUAUCUGGGAAGAACACUCAGUGGCGAAAGCGCUCUGACUGGCCAUAACUGACGCU
rnacentral:rRNA from 1 species